rnacentral:tRNA from 1 species
GCGCCCUUAGCUCAAUUUGGAUAGAGCAACGGCCUUCUAAGCCGUAGGUUACAGGUUCAAAUCCUGUAGGGCGUA